GCUAAACGCGAAGAACCUUACCUGGUCUUGACAUAGUAAGAACUUUCCAGAGAUGGAUUGGUGCCUUCGGGAACUUACAUACAGGUGCUGCAUGGCUGUCGUCAGCUCGUGUCGUGAGAUGUUGGGUUAAGUCCCGCAACGAGCGCGAACCCUUUUCCUUAUUUGCCAGCGGGUUAAGCCGGGAACUUUAAGGAUACGUGCCAGUGACAAACUGGAGGAAGGCGGGGACGACGUCAAGUCAUCAUGGCCCCUACGACCAGGGCUACACACGUGCUACAAUGGUCGGUACAAAGGGUUGCUACCUAGCGAUAGGAUGCUAAUCUCAAAAAGCCGAUCGUAAGUCCGGAUUGGAGUCUGCAACUCGACUCCGAUGAAGUCGGAAUCGCUAGUAAUGGCACAUCA
rnacentral:rRNA from 1 species